GACAGAGGGUGCAAACGUUGCUCGGAAUUACUGGGCGUAAAGCGCGUGUAGGCGGUUCCGCAAGUCAGGUGUGAAAGCCCAGGGCUCAACCCUGGAAGUGCACUUGAUACUACGGAGCUUGAGUACUGAAGAGGAGAGCGGAAUUCCCGGUGUAGAGGUGAAAUUCGUAGAUAUCGGGAGGAACACCAGUGGCGAAGGGCGGCUCUCUGGGGCAGAUACUGACGCUGAGACGCGAAAAGCAUGGGGAGCAAACAGGG
rnacentral:rRNA from 1 species